AGAGUUUGAUCCUGGCUCAGGAUGAACGCUGGCGGCGUGCCUAAUACAUGCAAGUCGAACGCACUAGUUUACUAGUGAGUGGCGAACGGGUGAGUAACACGUAGGUAACCUGCCCUUAAGACGAGGAUAACCAUUGGAAACGAUGGCUAAGACUGGAUAGGAAUAUUUAAGGCUAUCUUAAAUAUUUUAAAAGACCUAGCAAUAGGUAUGCUUAAGGAGGGGCCUGCGGCGCAUUAGUUAGUUGGUGAGGUGAGAGCUCACCAAGACGAUGAUGCGUAGCCGGACUGAGAGGUUGAACGGCCACAUUGGGACUGAGAAACGGCCCAAACUCCUACGGGAGGCAGCAGUAGGGAAUUUUCGGCAAUGGAGGAAACUCUGACCGAGCAACGCCGCGUGAAUGACGAAGUACUUCGGUAUGUAAAGUUCUUUUAUCAAGGAAGAAUGACUUGUGGAAAAACAAGAGUGACGGUACUUGAUGAAUAAGCCCCGGCUAACUAUGUGCCAGCCAGCCGCGGUAAUACAUAGGGGCAAGGCGUUAUCCGGAAUUAUUGGGCGUAAAGGGUGCGUAGGCGGUCGAUUUAAGUCUUUGGUGUAAGUGCAAGGCUCAACCUUGUGAUGCUAAGGAAACUGGAUGACUUGAGUGUGAUAGAGGUAAGUGGAAUUCCAUGUGUAGCGGUAAAAUGCGUAAAUAUAUGGAGGAACACCAGUGGCGAAGGCGGCUUACUGGGUCACAACUGACGCUGAGGCACGAAAGCGUGGGGAGCAAACAGGAUUAGAUACCCUGGUAGUCCACGCCGUAAACGAUGAGUACUAAGUGUUGGAGAAAUUCAGUGCUGUAGUUAACGCAAUAAGUACUCCGCCUGAGUAGUACGUACGCAAGUAUGAAACUCAAAGGAAUUGACGGGACCCCGCACAAGCGGUGGAUCAUGUUGUUUAAUUCGAUGAUACGCGAAAAACCUUACCAGGUCUUGACAUCCCAUGCAAAGCUUAAGAGAUUAAGUGGAGGUUACCAUGGA
rnacentral:rRNA from 1 species